AAGGAAACUAAGUGUCAAUGAUCAAUCCCAACAACUAAAGUGGAUCCAACUCUUCAACUAGAUCUUUCUCAUUAUUUAUUUCUCUUUUAUUUUGUUAUUUGCUUAUUUUAAUUGCUUUCAGUAGUUUGUUAAUCAAACCAAUCUCAAACCCCCCCAUUUUACUUUUACUGCAAUUUAUUUUUAUUCCACUUUCAGUUUUAUCUCGUUUCAGUUUAUUUUGCUUUCCGUUUAUUUCUCUUUCAGUUUUAUCUCGUUUCAGUUUUAUCUCAUUUUCAGUUUAUCUCGUUUUCAGUUUUCUUCUUUUUCAGUUUAUUUUUGUUUCAGUUUAUUUUAUUGGUCUUGAUAAGGAAAAUAGGUAAGUCCUCAAUUCCCUGUGGAUUCGAUCCUUUCACCACUAUCUGCAGUUGUAAAUUGUUGAUAACCAGAAAGGUUAUUUUUGACCGGCUUCG
rnacentral:lncRNA from 1 species